UAGCGUAGGGGGCAAGCAGUUGUCCGGAAUCGAUUGGGCGUAAAGAGCGUGUAGGCGGACUGGUAAGUACCUUGUGAAAUCCCACGGCUUAACCGUGGAACUGCUUGGUAUACUGCUUGUCUUGAGCCACUUAGGGGCAACUGGAACAAACGGUGGAGCGGUGAAAUGCGUAGAUAUCGUUUGGAACGCCAAUGGUGAAAACAGGUUGCUGGGAGUGCGCUGACGCUGAGACACGAAAGCCAGGGGAGCAAACGGG
rnacentral:rRNA from 1 species